rnacentral:misc_RNA from 1 species
GAUGAAGAACGCAGCGAAAUGCGAUAAGUAAUGUGAAUUGCAGAAUUCAGUGAAUCAUCGAAUCUUUGAACGCACAUUGCGCCCGCUAGUAUUCUGGCGGGCAUGCCUGUCCGAGCGUCAUUUCAACCCUCAAGCCCCCGGGCUUGGUGUUGGGGAUCGGCGAGCCUCCGCGCCCGCCGUCCCCUAAAUCUAGUGGCGGUCUCGCUGUAGCUUCCUCUGCGUAGUAGCACACCUCGCACUGGGAAACAGCGCGGCCACGCCGUUAAACCCCCAACUUCUGAACGUUUGACCUCGGAUCAGGUAGGAAUACCCGCUGAACUUAAGCAUAUCAAUAAGCGGAGGGA